CAUCGGGGGGGGUGGAGGCUCAGCUGGUGCGAUGCAUGAGCUGAGCAGUCCAGGGAUCAGACUUGGCCAAAUGAAAGCGAGUUCGGGGCUUGCGCAUCUUCGUCCCGAGUGGGCAUUUGCCUGCAUAACAAGUGCCUCAGCCAACGUGAGUGGCUGGGUUGCUAUGACUGGGUCUCUCUCAGCAGGAGGUGUCUGGAGUGCUUUAGCAGAGCUGUGGGGGGUGCCAAGGGCUGGAGUCGCAGCGGGUGCUGCAGGACAGGACCGAGGUGCAUUGGCAGACCUGGGGUUGGAGGAUCCCAAGGCUGGAAUAGCAGCGGGUGCUGCAGGAUGGGACCGAGGUGCCCUGGCAGAGCUGGGGUUGGAGGAUCCCAAGGCUGGAACAGCAGCGGGUGCUGCAGGAUGGGACCGAGGUGCCCUGGCAGAGCUAGCUGAGUGAGGCAGGACUGGAACAACAGAGAUCACUAAUAUGAACCAACUGCAAUAGUCUGGAAAGCAAUGAUUCAUGACUGAAACUGGCGGGUGCAGCCAAAGCCCGGAGACGUUGAUCCCAGGGGCCAGUGACAACUGGAGGACUUCUCAGAUAACACCACUCUGCGAUCCUUACUGGUUGUACCUACGCCAGAAUCUGGAAACAGCACUGGACUGGGACUCAGGAGACCUGGGUGAAUUCACAGCUCUGCCCCUGCCUGCUGGGUGACCUUAGGCAUCAUUUCCCAGAGAGGCUGGAACAGGAUGAGUUUCACCACAUGUGGAAACAGAAAUCUGGUGACACAGACAAGGGCUCGGGCUAGUGAGAACAGGGGCUAGGCAUGUGCUCACUCUCGACUCAGCUCAGCUGAUGCGUCACAUGCUGACCUACAGCAUCCCCAGCUGUUCCAUUCCUGAGACACCACCCAGCUCUGCCAAUGCACGAUCCCAUUCCCGAACUUCAGCCCUCUCUCCGCUCUACCCAUCCUGGACAUGCUCAUGCGUCUCUGCAGAGCCGGCAAUUCCAGUGCUCUGCAAUAAAGAUUCCUAUGGUGCAGUCAGAACAAAAUGGUACUUUAUAUCCUGAGGCCCAAUCUAGGAUAACCAGGCUUGUGCCAUUCGUAGCUGGAGCAGAUCUGGGCCCGUAUCUCAAGAAAAAAAAGCACCAGUAACUUACAAACUUUUUGGGGCAGGGGUUAUUUUCUAUGUGUACAGCCCCUGGCACAAAGCGGCCCCGAUCCUGAGUUGGGCCUCUGGGUGUCACUGCAAUAUAAAUAAUGACAAUUAUACGAAAUACCCCCUGUUGUUGUUAUAUAUUAUCAGCAUCACCAUUGCAGCUAGAGGUCGCAACUGAGAUCAAAGAUGCAUUGUACUAGGGGCUGUAAAAACACAGUGAGAGACAGUCCCUGCUUCAAGGCGU